rnacentral:rRNA from 1 species
UGAGGAAUAUUGCCCAAUGGGGGAAACCCUGAGGCAGCAACGCCGCGUGAACGAUGAAGGCCUUCGGGUUGUAAAGUUCUUUUCUGUGGGAAGAUGAUGACGGUACCGCAGGAAUAAGUCCCGGCUAACUACGUGCCAGCAGCCGCGGUAAAACGUAGGGGACAAGCGUUAUCCGGAUUUACUGGGCGUAAAGCGCACGUAGGCGGAUUGACAAGUUGGACGUGAAAGCUCCUGGCUUAACUGGGAGAGGCCGUUCAAAACUGUCAAACUAGAGUUAGGAAGAGGAGAGCGGAAUUCCCGGUGUAGUGGUGGAAUGCGUAGAUAUCGGGAGGAACACCAGUGGCGAAAGCGGCUCUCUGGUCCAUAACUGACGCUGAGGUGCGAAAGCGUGGGGAGCGAACGG